rnacentral:tRNA from 1 species
ACCUUCGUGGUGUAAUGGUAGCACAUUCGGUGCGUAUUCGGAAGGUCCAGGUUCGAGUCCUGGCGAGGGCU